GCACAAGCGGAGGAACAUGUGGUUAAUUCGAUGAUACGCGAGGAACCUUACCUGGGCUUAAAUGUAGAGUGCAUUUUUAGUAGAUAGAAAUUCCCUUCGGGGCUUUCUGCAAGGUGCUGCAUGGUUGUCGUCAGCUCGUGCCGUGAGGUGUCGGGUUAAGUCCCAUAACGAGCGCAACCCUUAUCGUUAGUUGCCAGCUGGUAAAGCAGGGGACUCUAGCGAAACUGCCACCGUAAGGUGAGAGGAAGGUGGGAUGACGUCAAAUCAGCACGGCCCUUAUGUCCAGGGCUACACACGUGUUACAAUGGCCGGCACAGAGGGCAGCUACCUGGUGACAGGAUGCUAAUCUCGAAAACCGGUCUCAGUUCGGAUCGAAGUCUGCAACUCGACUUCGUGAAGCUGGAUUCGCUAGUAAUCGCGCAUCAGCCAUGGCGCGGUGAAUACGUUCCCGGGCCUU
rnacentral:rRNA from 1 species